rnacentral:rRNA from 1 species
GAUGAACGCUGGCGGCGUGCCUAAUACAUGAAAGUCGAGCGAACAGACGAGGAGCUUGCUCCUCUGAUGUUAGCGGCGGACGGGUGAGUAACACGUGGAUAACCUACCUAUAAGACUGGGAUAACUUCGGGAAACCGGAGCUAAUACCGGAUAACAUGUUGAACCGCAUGGUUCAACGGUGAAAGACGGUCUUGCUGUCACUUAUAGAUGGAUCCGCGCCGCAUUAGCUAGUUGGUAAGGUAACGGCUUACCAAGGCAACGAUGCGUAGCCGACCUGAGAGGGUGAUCGGCCACACUGGAACUGAGACACGGUCCAGACUCCUACGGGAGGCAGCAGUAGGGAAUCUUCCGCAAUGGGCGAAAGCCUGACGGAGCAACGCCGCGUGAGUGAAGAAGGUCUUCGGAUCGUAAAACUCUGUUAUUAGGGAAGAACAAAUGUGUAAGUAACUAUGCACGUCUUGACGGUACCUAAUCAGAAAGCCACGGCUAACUACGUG